GGUGGCUCAGUGGUAGAGCGUUUGCUUUGCAUGCUCAAGGCCCUGGGUUCGAUUCCUCAGCACCA
rfam:Dipodomys ordii contig_2523, whole genome shotgun sequence.